UAUCACUAAGCGGAGGAAAAGAAACUAACCAGGAUUCCCUGAGUAACGGCGAGUGAAAAGGGAUUAGCCCAGCACCGAAGCCCGUGUCUAUUUUGAUGCAGGGCAAUGUGGUGUUAAAGUGGAUGCUUUUGAAUAUUGCUUUGUCUCAAGUCCAAGCUUGAAUAUGGUUUUUGUUCAGGCCCAGAGAGGGUGAAAGGCCCGUGGAGACUGAAGUGAUGUUUGACUGCGUCUACUAUGGAGUCGGGUUGUUUGUGAAUGCAGCCCAAAGUUGGUGGUAAACUCCAUCUAAGGCUAAAUACUGGCACGAGUCCGAUAGCGAACAAGUACCGUGAGGGAAAGUUGAAAAGUACUCUGAAGAGAGAGUAAACAGUGCGUGAAACCGCUUGGAGGUAAACGGGUGUAGUCAAACUGCAAGCCGUGAGGAUUCAGCCGUCAAGUAUGGCGUGAGCUUGGGCACAUUGAGUGGUGAAGAGAAGACCGUCAGUGCGGCGGACCGGAUUUUCUCUUGUAGGAAAUUUUGUGCGAGAACGUAAUUGUGACGUUGCGCGCUUCUCUCACCAUGCUCAGCUUGUCGGUGCAUUUCCUCAGGGCGUGAAGCCACGACCGUUGUUGCUGCCGGUCUGCUUUGGUUAAACCUAUUGAAUCGAGUCUUGUGCUCGUGUUCAGUGGGCUAGCAGGUAGCCUGAUAGACAUUACUUGUUUUGUUUAUUGGGUGUAAUAUUGGCUGACCAAAGUGGUAUUUGUAACUGUGCAGUGCGACGGAGAUUGCGGCAUGGUGUGGUGUGACGUGCUAAAGCAUAUUGGCGCAGUUCAAGUUUGGCUGCUUGUUGCUAAUUAAUUUUGGCCCUGCAGUGGCUUGACUGUGGUUUGAUGUGCAGCAGCGUCUGCUCAUCCCAUACGUGGUGCCUACAGUCUGUGGCGUCGUAGUGGUAGACGAACCACCCCGA
rnacentral:rRNA from 1 species